rnacentral:lncRNA from 1 species
CAGGCUUGUCGAUACGGCCACAUCCAGCACCUGGAGCAUCUCUUGUUCUACGGAGCUGACAUGCAUGUGGAAAAUGCAUCUGGGAAUACGGCUCUCCAUAUCUGCGCUCUGUACAAACAGGAAAAGUGUGCCAGGGUUCUUCUGGUUCGAGGAGCCAGCAAAGACGUCAAAAACUACCGAGGACAAACGCCCUUUCAGGUACAACAAUGAGGUUUUUGCUUGGCUACUUUUUAAUGACUCAAAACUAUUUUUUUUUUCUAAAUAUGCUUGCUUUUGAAUUUUAGUAUAUUUUGUUGGAUUAGCGUAAAAAAAAUAAUAAUUACCAAACCAUAAGCGCUUAAUAAACUGUGUGUGUGUGUUGUUCUGACGCGCAGAGUUCUUAAUUAAUUAGACAGAAUGUCACACUAAAGCACAGGCAUUAUGUAAGACAGCACUCAGAGAACAAUGAGUGAGCGUGAGGGUAAUUAAUCAGUUUAUUUUGUUUGUUUGCAUGGGUUUUGGUAUCUUAAGAUAAUUAGGAGUUCGAUUUUAAAAAGAGGGGAAAUAAUGAACGUCAAAUCAGUUUUUGUUGUUUUCUUAAAUGCUUUAGUUGCUUUCAAGAAAAACCUCUGGUUAUUUUGUUUGUUUACUUGAAGAGUUUCUUUCUCAAAUGUCAGAUUGUGACAUUCAGUAGCUUGUCUGACAGCAAUGGACAUGAUCCAAGUCUGUGGCCAUGGGCUGAUGAGAGUGUUGCGUUUACUGUUCAGUGGCCUUCGAUAAUGGCUGUGACCGUAAUGCCACUAGUCAUUAGUGAUUAUUAUUAGAAAUAGAGUUAAAACUGAAGUCAUAUUUGUGCCAGUAGUCACUGGUGGGUAUUAUUAAAAUUAUAGCCAAAACUGAAGUCAUUUUUAAUUAAACAAUGUUCUGACAGGAACG